GACGAACCGUGCGAACGUUAUUCGGAAUCACUGGGCUUAAAGGGCGCGUAGGCGGGUUCUCAAGUCAGGGGUGAAAUCCCGCGGCUCAACCGUGGAAGUGCCUUUGAUACUGGGGACCUCGAGGGAGGUAGGGGCGUGCGGAACUUCCGGUGGAGCGGUGAAAUGCGUAGAUAUCGGAAGGAACACCGGUGGCGAAAGCGGCGCGCUGGACCUCUUCUGACGCUGAGGCGCGAAAGCCAGGGGAGCAAACGGG
rnacentral:rRNA from 1 species